AAAGCGCUUUUGCAAUUUUUGCCAAACACCAUUUUUAAAAGAUAGAAGCGCUUUCACCCAUUUAGAAGCGCUUUUCGCUGCUCCAAAAGCACUCCCAAACGAGCCCUUAAUAUAUUUUAAUAUUUUAAGAGUAUAGCCGGUCGGCUAUACGCUUUAAAUAUUCAAAACGAACACGUUGCUUGCACUCGCAGAGGACGGAGGUUGCAGUCGAAGUUUCGCUUCUCUAUAUCAACUCAAGCUCCGAUUUGUUUUCUUUGGUUUCGGCUGCUUCGUCCUCCGGGUUCGACACCGAAAAAAGAUCCAACCCGCCCAGGAGGACCCCCCAGCCGCCUAGCGCCCACCUAGCCGCCUAGCCCCCGCCUAACCGCCUAGCCGCCCGCCUAGGCCCAUUUUCGGUUGCCUCUCAGGCUCAAAAGAUGGCUGACAUCGUUACAGAACAAUGGAUUCAAAUUCAGCGGCUUGAGCAGGCUCUUCAUAUUACACAAAACCAAAGGCUCCUCUUGGUUAGCAGAAUUCAAAGGAAUAUGGUUCCAGUCCAGUGACCAUCUAGUGGAUGCAACUUUGCCCGCUACUGAAGUCAAAUCAUCAUAACUGAAUAUAAGGAAUGUUAUAGGAGAAACAAAGACUUCCUUAGCUUCUGGAAAUUAGCAUAUUGGGGAGAAGCAAUUAACGGAUGUCUUAGUUAAUUGGUGAAACUUCUUAUAAGAAGAUGGAGUCCAAAAUAGUAAAGGAGCCACGCUCAGUUCAACCACGAGGCACCCAUCACCUAUUUCCA